UACGUAGGGCGCAAGCGUUGUCCGGAAUUAUUGGGCGUAAAGGGCUCGUAGGCGGCUUGUCACGUCGGGUGUGAAAGCCCGGGGCUUAACCCCGGGUCUGCAUUCGAUACGGGCUAGCUAGAGUGUGGUAGGGGAGAUCGGAAUUCCUGGUGUAGCGGUGAAAUGCGCAGAUAUCAGGAGGAACACCGGUGGCGAAGGCGGAUCUCUGGGCCAUUACUGACGCUGAGGAGCGAAAGCGUGGGGAGCGAACAGG
rnacentral:rRNA from 1 species